ACUCCUACGGGAGGCAGCAGUAAGGAAUAUUGGUCAAUGGGGGCAACCCUGAACCAGCCAUGCCGCGUGCAGGAAGACGGCCCUCUGGGUUGUAAACUGCUUUUAUCCGGGAAUAAACCCCCUUACGUGUAAGGGGCUGAAUGUACCGGAAGAAUAAGGAUCGGCUAACUCCGUGCCAGCAGCCGCGGUAAUACGGAGGAUCCAAGCGUUAUCCGGAUUUAUUGGGUUUAAAGGGUGCGUAGGCGGCCUGUUAAGUCAGGGGUGAAAGACGGUGGCUCAACCAUCGCAGUGCCUUUGAUACUGACGGGCUUGAAUACACUUGAAGUAGGCGGAAUGUGACAAGUAGCGGUGAAAUGCAUAGAUAUGUCACAGAACACCGAUUGCGAAGGCAGCUUACUAAGGUGCAAUUGACGCUGAGGCACGAAAGCGUGGGGAUCAGACAGGAUUAGAUACCCUGGUAGUCCACGCCCUAAACGAUGAAUACUCGAUGUUAGCGAUAUACAGUUAGCGUCUAAGCGAAAGCGUUAAGUAUUCCACCUGGGGAGUACGCCCGCAAGGGUGAAACUCAAAGGAAUUGACGGGGGCCCGCACA
rnacentral:rRNA from 1 species